GGGUCAGUAGGUUGGUCGUGCCACCGGUACGUACUGGUCUCACUGAUUCCUCCUUCCUGAAGAACCGGAAUGCCAUUAAUUUGGUGUUGCGGGGAAACAGGACUGUUACUUUGAAAAAUUUAGAGUGUUUAAAGCAAGCUAACGCUUGAAUACAUUAGCAUGGAAUAAUGAAAUAGGACGAUCGAUCCUAUUUUGUUGGUUUCUAGGAUUGACGUA
rnacentral:rRNA from 1 species